rnacentral:rRNA from 1 species
GUGGGGAAUUUUGGACAAUGGGCGAAAGCCUGAUCCAGCAAUGCCGCGUGUGUGAAGAAGGCCUUCGGGUUGUAAAGCACUUUUGGCAGGGAAGAAACAGUGCGUGCUAAUACCAUGCGCGAAUGACGGUACCUGCAGAAUAAGCACCGGCUAACUACGUGCCAGCAGCCGCGGUAAUACGUAGGGUGCAAGCGUUAAUCGGAAUUACUUGGCGUAAAGCGUGCGCAGGCGGCUUUGUAAGACGGAUGUGAAAGCCCCGGGCGCAACCUGGGAAGUGCAUUCGUGACUGCAAGGCUAGAGUGUGUCAGAGGGAGGUGGAAUUCCGCGUGUAGCAGUGAAAUGCGUAGAGAUGCGGAGGAACACCGAUGGCGAAGGCAGCCUCCUGGGAUAACACUGACGCUCAGGCACGAAAGCGUGGGGAGCAAACAGGAUUAGAAACCCUUGUAGUCC